CGGCGGUUUGUUCACGCGGUUCGCUUGCUUAAAGUGGUACGAGUUUUCGAGUGAAGAACUUCGGAGCGUGUUUGCAAGAACGGCAGCAACACCGCCUUAUUCAGUUUGGAGCACCACGCAGACACAUGACUCCUCGCCAGCAGCACGGCACACAUCGCAGGGGACGCUUUCCCAGCAGACGCGCUACGGCGCAGCGAUCACGUCAGAGGCGUCCCGCUACGGGCGCUGCACCUAGGAAUCGCGCUGUGAGCGGAAAGAGGAGUCGCGUCGCCUAAACACGAGGGUUCGAGUGACGCACGGUGGAAGUGGAGAGAGCGAGAAAACUUAUUAAACGCAAGGGUAUUGGGGCAGCCUCGCACCGGUUCCCGCACGGCCCCAAUGCGCUCAAACGAGACGAAGGGGAGAAGCGGGCGAGUGGCGCGCCACCUGUCGGGGCAGCACCAUACAUUGCGAGGAGGGGGUCUUCCGUGUUUGCCGCAAGAUGGCUCUGCGUGUGCGCCCAAGCGCAGAAGGAAUGUAGUGGAAACGUACUUCACUACUCGUUUAACUGCGACUUCUGUUAUUUACAUGCUCAUAAUUACCGAUAUACACCGCAGUAUAACUUUCUACGGCACGUUUCUAAGGCAACACCGCAUUCACUAGAGGCACUUUUGUCACGCUUUGAACGUUCGAACUCAUGGCUGAGUAGUAGCGUCUGUGUCUCACACUCCGGAGACCCUGGUUGAUUCCCACCCAGCCCAUCUUGCAAGUUGUUUUUAUUUAUAAAUUGCCUUCCGGGAUCUUUCGCUCACGGCCAACACCGCCGACAACACCGGCUUUUCUGCAACACGAGCUCCUUAACGCUGUCGUGUUAAUAAUACCAACGGCAGGCAGCAAGCAAGUGCAGUCGCCGAAGGUAAGGGCCAUCUGCAGCUUAGGCCUUUUUUGUAAAAUGAUGGCACUAAAGAGCCGAAGUUUAUUAUGCUGUUUUAAGGAAGCUACAACGGAGUAAAACAAAAUCAACAGCUUAUAAGCAUGUACAUAUGCAACAUUUCAUGAAAAUUCAACUCUUAAAGUGGUUCAUAAAUUUGAUGGGCACUGCAUGCUAUUUCGAGGGCAAAAAAAGAAAACAAACUUUACACAUUAGUUAAAUCAAACACGCACUUUCAAGGUUAAGAAAUUUAGUACUGUGCGACUCGCUUCAAUGUGUAAAAUGUAAAAAGCCCACCCGCAAAUCAUGGUGAACAUUAAAUUACUUUUGUGUGUAUUGUUUUCGUUGGAUGCGUAUAAUUUAUUCUAAAAAAAGUUUGUUUAGGAUACCUUAACUGUCAGUUGGUAUCCUUUGUUGUGGUUGGUAUCUUUUAUGCUGUUUUUACUGAAUGGUUUCUGCGCUGCACUAUAACAUGUGACUGUCAAGACAGUGUCACUCGCAGUGUAGUUACAGAGUAUGUGUAGUCAAUAUAGUCGGCAUCGAUCUUGUUCCGAGCAUGUGAAUCUUUUUUUUGUCUUUUCGAGGCACCAGUUUUCAUUUUGAGGUAGCCUUCGAAAUUCUGUGUAGAGAGAGAGAGAGAAAUUUAUUUACAGAAAGGCAGAGAGGUCGGCCCAAGCUAUCACUGUUCAUAUGAAAUUCUACCUUCCUCACUGCAAGAGGAACACCUCGGAUGAAGCGAUUCAUAGUUGUCAUGGAAUGUGAUCUUGAAGAAAUGUAGGGUUAAUUUGGCUGCAGAAAGAAAGCAAUGACAAUAAAUUUGAGACAAGAAACAAGGCUAAAAGAAGAACCUUUUAUAACCUUAAUUACAUAGAAUUGUUAUUGUAUUUCCUGGCAUAUAUGAUAGUGAGCUAUGCUUGCAUUUAUUGGUGGGGAACCUCUAGCCUUUUAAUUUAGUUAUAUACAUCUGAAUUCUAGAUUGCCAAAUUGCUAUGUUCCUGUCAGCUUCAGGAAAGGGAGUUUUAUGUUGUGCUAUUUGUCAGUAAGGAAAUUGGGCUUUCCCUUAAGAAAUUUACAAUAUCCAAUGUGAAUUUGACAUGAAAAUAAUGAUAAGGCUUUUUGUCGACGUUUGUGCUGACAAGGGAGUACUUAGUUCUUUUAGGAGUAUACCACAAAAUUUUUGUCUGGUUUUUAUUCCAAGAAUGGGUAGCAUGUCAACUCAGUAAUUAUGCUAUGUAGCCUCAGUUGUUUAAUAAUACGGAAAUAUAAUUAAUACAUUGCCUUUUAGUGUGAAAGCUCAAAACAUGCACGAAGUGUAGUGCAGCCGUGGAAGUGAAACGAAGUCUUCAUGUCACCAAUACUCGAUGUGGCAGUCUCACAGUACCAGACACAACUGACACGCACACACACACCUACUAUGACCAAGCUGCAAAAGCAGGGAUCAUUCAACACUCCACAGGAUAACAGGGGAGAGGGUCCUCCCGCACUUCAAAAAGAAGUGUGCGAUUAAUCAGAAGGGUUAAUUUCACGGAUUUUUGUGAUAAGGUCAUUAUAUCACCGUCAACUACUGCAUUGAGUCAACUCUCUCGUACUUGAGUUGUUUCUGACACCACAUGAAUUUCAACUAUGGUUUUGGUGAUGUGAUUAGUCUCCUGCUCCACAUACAAAAUAGCGCUGCAUUUGGACUACAUCUUAAGAGCUGCAUAAAAUGUGGUGUAAGGAUUAUUCAUGCUGCUCAAGGAAUUGAGGCUCUGUCAUAAUUGUGGGGCCGGCAACUACCUAAAAAGCACAAAAGUGGGGCACAAAAUUUCCGUGUCAGUACUCCCUUAAUGAAUUUCGCCUAAGUACAUUAAUUGAUUCAACAAGAGAGUAAUAAUUUUGAUGCACAAGUUGUUUUACGCUGUUGAUGUCUUGUUUUGACACAUGCAGAAUACUAAAAAACCACUGAACCCCCCCCCAACCCCUGAGUAAUCGGCUGCAUUUUUCCGUGAGGUGGCACGAAGAAGAAAGUUCUGUAGCUGUGAUUGCGUCAACCAACUCUCUGCAUGGGAGUCCCAGUUGUCCUUAGAAUAUUUCAACAGAUUGUUCCAGGGUGAAAACCAUGCCUUUCCGGUUAGCAGAAAUUGUGGGCCUUGACGAAACCUGGCUCCAGGACCCACAACGAGCUCUUUGUGGUAGGCCAGCCACAGUUCAGUUGCAAUUUCGAUUGGCAACUUUUGAAAGCACCACAAAUCAGUUUUGUGUGCGUGUGUCCAUAUGUAUGCGUGAUGACAAUGGUAUAGAAUUUGCAGCCAUGAUUAAGUCAAACUAAGUCUUUUAGAGCAUUGAUUACUGGAAAGAUACAUUCAAGAGAGCACUGUGAAUGGCCUAGCCUGUUCUUUCUCUGCAUUUUUUGCUUUAUACUUGAAAAUAUGAAAGUAUACUACCAUUUAGUGAUGCUCUAAAAAAAAAAGAAUUGUUCCCUGUUCCCAUUUUUAAACAUUUGAAUUGUCAUUUCAACUCAUGCUACUUUAUUUUUUUGUUGCAUUUAUAAUUAAGAUUUCUAAGUUCUCUGUAAAGAAGUUGCAUUUACUAAGGAACCACUGUAUUAGUCACGUGCAUAGCAACCACACUGAAUCACAUUUGUAUUUAUAAAAUAAAGUGAAUUUUUUUACUGCUCCCUUAA